AACGAACGCUGGCGGCAGGCUUAACACAUGCAAGUCGAGCGCCCCGCAAGGGGAGCGGCAGACGGGUGAGUAACGCGUGGGAAUCUACCCAUCUCUACGGAAUAACGCAUGGAAACGUGUGCUAAUACCGUAUACGUCCUUCGGGAGAAAGAUUUAUCGGAGAUGGAUGAGCCCGCGUUGGAUUAGCUAGUUGGUGGGGUAAAGGCCUACCAAGGCGACGAUCCAUAGCUGGUCUGAAAGGAUGAUCAGCCAAACUGGGACUGAGACACGGCCCAGACUCCUACGGGAGGCAGCAGUGGGGAAUAUUGGACAAGGGGCGCAAGCCUGAUCCAGCCAUGCCGCGUGAGUGAUGAAGGCCCUAGGGUUGUAAAGCUCUUUCACCGGUGAAGAUAAUGACGGUAACCGGAGAAGAAGCCCCGGCUAACUUCGUGCCAGCCGCCGCCGUAAUAC
rnacentral:rRNA from 1 species